CCCCCUUUGCCUAUACAAAGGUUGCAAUAAAAUGCAUUACAGUAGUAUUUCAUUUACAAAGCAAAUGACAUUAAAACUUGUUUCUUAACCCAUUGGAUUGUACUUUAGUAAAACAAUGUCCUUUCAUGGAGGUGCAGCACAGAUUCCAAGAGCUGCCUGGAUGUGGAAAAUGAUCACUCUUUCGAAGCAGUCCUGCCUCGGAAGGUUGAGUUGAAUUGCUUCAUGAUGCUGUGUCAAUUCCUCUUUGGAAGGAUCUCAUCCUCAGGUUUGGCAAUUAGGAUAGUAUGUUAAACAUUCUCAAGGCUGGAUUGGGCAUACCCCAUCUUCUGGACCUUCAGACCAAGCACUUUGCUGGCAGCCGUGUCCCUUGGGUAAAUGGGAUUCUGCAAAAUGACAGUGCAGCUUGUGUGGGCAGGGGACAGGCCACGUCCCAAAGUAAGUAAUUAAUUCCCUCAGGGCCUCAUGGCUGUCACAAACAUCACCAUCUUCUGCUUCCUGUGCUAGAUGCAAUUCCUAGAGCUUGUGUUCUUGGAUACAAAGGGAGUACUAAUAGUACCUGCCAAGACAUGCCGUCUUUCCCUUGGAAAAAAAAAAAAGAUGAGAAAACAAACUACAUAUGAUAGAUGUUAGUCAUGUUGCUUAUUGCACUGUUGGCAUAAUCUCCCCCUGGGGCUCCUAUACUCACAUCCAGGAUUUGGGGAUGAGUCAGGUGUAUUGCAUAUGUACUUAUGGAUGAUCUGAGCAUACACAGAACAUAAUGGGAAUUUCAUGAUGUCCCAACUUGCUUUUGCUUCCCUCUGUGCCACAAGAUGUCUGUAAAUCCUAGACAGAGUUCUUCUCUGAGACAAGGUUGCUGGAUGGAAAAAAACAGUAUACCUCCAAGGAACUGCAUGUGUGGGAGCAUCAGUCAGUUUGCUAUAAUUGAAUACACUAAUGAUGCUAAAUCUUAUGACAUUACUGCUGGCCAUGUGACCUUGGUGGUGAUUUCCUGAAACCUCUAGAUUCUGGAGUCAUGUUAACACUCAAGGAUCUCUAUUAAACAAAGAUUGCAGCCUCCACAUUUGUAAGAUAAAGCUGUUUCCUGUGAUUCCGCAGCAUAUCAAAAAGUGAAGGCAAGUAAGAACACACUGAACCUGUAUUUUGAAAACCAAAAGUCUUUAAACCCAUCACAUGGCUUUGGGGGACCUGAACAUUUAUUUCUGAACAGCUUGCUGUGGCAACUUGAUAAUUUUCCUUUAAUAGUUAUGUCUGUUCUUGUGCAGCUUGGCUUCCUACACCUUCUCUAAUAAAACUAUCAAUGUUUUGUGUAUAUUAAACUGCUUUAUUUUUACUUAGAGUUCCUGAAGUCACUGACAGGCAAGAUAGUGUUGUAUGCAAGGCAAUUAUUUAGGCAUUACAAGAUUAAAACACAGAAUAUAUUUCCUUGGGAAAUAAAGGUUUCAGACAGUU